CCCUUAGAUGUUCUGGGCCGCGCGCGUGCUACACUGACCGGCGCAACAAGUUUCUUUCCUUGGCUCGAUAGGCCUGGGUAAUCUUUGAACGCCGGUCGUGAUGGGGAUAGAUCCUUGCAAUUUUUGAUCUUCAACGAGGAAUUCCUAGUAAAUGCGAGUCAUCAUCUCGCGUUGAUUACGUCCCUGCCCUUUGUACACACCGCCCGUCGCACCUACCGAUUGAAUGGUCCGGUGAAGCCUCGGGAUUGCGAAUGCUUCGUGCGGACGCGAGAACUUGGCUAAACCUUACCAUUUAGAGGAAGGUGAAGUCGUAACA
rnacentral:rRNA from 1 species